rfam:Schistosoma haematobium scaffold573_3, whole genome shotgun sequence.
AUCCGGCUGACCAGUCCCAAACAGGACGAAACGCGAGUCCUGGAU